rnacentral:rRNA from 1 species
CUACGGGACGCUGCAGUGGGGAAUAUUGCACAAUGGAGGAAACUCUGAUGCAGCAACGCCGCGUGGAGGAUGACACUCUUCGGAGCGUAAACUCCUUUUAUAUAGGAAGAAGAUGACGGUACUAUAUGAAUAAGCGCCGGCUAACUCCGUGCCAGCAGCCGCGGUAAUACGGAGGGCGCAAGCGUUACUCGGAAUCACUGGGCGUAAAGAGCGUGUAGGCGGAUUAAAAAGUCAGAAGUGAAAUCCUAUAGCUUAACUAUAGAACUGCUUCUGAAACUCUUAAUCUAGAAUAUGGGAGAGGUAGAUGGAAUUUCUGGUGUAGGGGUAAUAUCCGUAGAGAUCAGAAGGAAUACCGAUUGCGAAGGCGAUCUACUAGAACAUUAUUGACGCUGAGACGCGAAAGCGUGGGGAGCAAACAGGAUUAGAUACCCCAGUAGUC